rnacentral:rRNA from 1 species
GACGUAGGGCGCGAGCGUUGUCCGGAUUUACUGGGCUUAAAGAGUUCGUAGGCGGCGCAGAAAGUAGGGUGUGAAAGCCCUCGGCCUAACCGAGGAAUUGCGCUCUAAACUACUGUGCUUGAGGAAUCUAGAGGUGAGCGGAACUGAUGGUGGAGCGGUGAAAUGCGUUGAUAUCAUCAGGAACACCGGAGGCGAAGGGCGGCUCACUGGGGAUUUUCUGACGCUGAGGAACGAAAGCCAGGGGAGCAAAGCGGGG